rnacentral:rRNA from 1 species
UACGAAGGGGGCUAGCGUUGCUCGGAAUCACUGGGCGUAAAGCGCACGUAGGCGGGUCUUUUAAGUCAGGGGUGAAAUCCCGGGGCUCAACCCCGGAACGGCCUUUGAUACUGGGUGUCUUGAGUUCGGAAGAGGUGAGUGGAAUUGCGAGUGUAGAGGUGAAAUUCGUAGAUAUUCGCAGGAACACCAGUGGCGAAGGCGGCCAACUGGACGAGUACUGACACUGAGACACGAAAGCGUGGGGGA